rfam:Gemella haemolysans ATCC 10379 ctg1119035638547, whole genome shotgun sequence.
AUACAACUAAAGCGCUUGUAAGACUUACCAUACAUUCGGGCCUAACACUUUUUGAACGGGAAUGAGAAUCGCUUAUUAGUAUAAAAUGCUUCCUUGAGAAGACUUUAGAAGAUAAGGCUAUCGUACCCACCUGAUUAUAUCAGGACCAAUUCAGGUAAGAAUCUACGGCGUUUUGGUUUUUUU